GAAAUGCGAUACGCAAUGCGAAUUGCAGAAUUCCGCGAGUCAUCAGAUCUUUGAACGCAAGUGGCGCUGGUUUAACCGCCAGCAUGUUUGUUUCAGUGUGUUAGGAAUCAUACAACUCAAUGCGAUUGAAGUGAAAGAACUUUAAAACCUCUCUAUCUUCUCUCGUUAAACAUGGAGGCGCCGAGCCGCCGUCGAACGAAGUAGUCACUUCUCGUAAGUGAUCUCGUGCGAUAAGCGCGCUCACUCAGGCACUCACAUAACAACAACCUCACUCCACAACACCUGAAAUCAAGCAGGAUCACCCGCUGAACUUAA
rnacentral:misc_RNA from 1 species